rnacentral:hammerhead_ribozyme from 1 species
AUCCAACUGAUCAGUCCCAAAUAGGACGAAACAUGUGUCAUGGAU